rnacentral:rRNA from 1 species
UACGAGGGGGGCGAGCGUUGUUCGGAAUUAUUGGGCGUAAAGAGCUCGUAGGUGGCCUGUCGCGUCGGCUGUGAAAACUCGGGGCUCAACUCCGAGCUUGCAGUCGAUACGGGCAGGCUAGAGUUCGGCAGGGGAGACUGGAAUUCCUGGUGUAGCGGUGAAAUGCGCAGAUAUCAGGAGGAACACCGGUGGCGAAGGCGGGUCUCUGGGCCGAUACUGACACUGAGGAGCGAAAGCGUGGGGAGCGAACAGG